rnacentral:rRNA from 1 species
UGGGGAAUAUUGCACAAUGGGGGAAACCCUGAUGCAGCGCCGCCGCGUGAACGAAGAAGUUAUUCGUAUCGUAAAGUUCUGUCCUAUGGGAAGAUAAUGACAGUAUCAUAGAAGAAAGCUUCGGCUAAAUACGUGCCAGCAGCCGCGGUAAUACGUAUGGAGCGAGCGUUGUCCGGAAUUAUUGGGCGUAAAGGGUACGCAGGCGGUUUAAUAAGUCGAAUGUUAAAGAUCGGGGCUCAACCCCGGAAAGCAUUGGAGACUGAGAAACUUGAGUAGUGGAUGAGAAAGUGGGAUUCCUAGUGUAGUGGUGAAAUACGUAUAUAUUAGGAGGAAUAACAGUAGCGAAGGCGACUUUCUCGACACAAACUGACUCUGGGGUACGAAAGCGUGGGGAGCAAACAGG